GAUCCUGGCUCAGGACGAACGCUGGCGGCGUGCCUAACACAUGCAAGUCGAACGGAACUNUUUUGAAAGAUUUCUUCGGAAUGAAUUUGAUUUAGUUUAGUGGCGGACGGGUGAGUAACGCGUGAGUAACCUGCCUUCAAGAGGGGGGAUAACAUUCUGAAAAGAAUGCUAAUACCGCAUGACAUAUCGGAACCACAUGAUUUUGAUAUCAAAGAUUUUAUCGCUUGAAGAUGGACUCGCGUCCGA
rnacentral:rRNA from 1 species